rnacentral:rRNA from 1 species
UUCCCCUAGUAACGGCGAGUGAAGCGGGAACAGCUCAAAUUUGAAAGCUGGCCUUCUGGUCCGCAUUGUAAUUUGUAGAGGAUGCUUUUGGCGCGGUGCCUUCUGAGUUCCUUGGAACAGGACGCCUUAGAGGGUGAGAGCCCCGUACAGUUGGACACCUAGCCUUUGUAAAGCUCCUUCGACGAGUCGAGUAGUUUGGGAAUGCUGCUCUAAAUGGGAGGUAAAUUUCUUCUAAAGCUAAAUACCGGCCAGAGACCGAUAGCGCACAAGUAGAGUGAUCGAAAGAUGAAAAGCACUUUGAAAAGAGGGUUAAAUAGCACGUGAAAUUGUUGAAAGGGAAGCGCUUAUGACCAGACUUUUUCCUGGCGAAUCAUCCGGCGUUCUCGCCGGUGCACUUCGCCAGGUUUAGGCCAACAUCGAUUUCCGCCGGGGGAUAAAGGCUUCGGGAAUGUGACUCCCUCCGGGGAGUGUUAUAGCCCGUUGCGUAAUACCCUGGUGGGGAUCGAGGUUCGCGCUUCGGCAAGGAUGUUGGCAUAAUGGUCAUCAGUGACCCGUCUUGAAACACGGACCAAGGAGUCGAACAUUUAUGCGAGUGUUUGGGUGUUAAACCCUCACGCGUAAUGAAAGUGAACGGAGGUGAGAGCCUUAGGGUGCAUCAUCGACCGAUCCUGAUGUCUUCGGAUGGAUUUGAGUAAGAGCAUAACUGUUCGGACCCGAAAGAUGGUGAACUAUGCGUGGAUAGGGUGAAGCCAGAGGAAACUCUGGUGGAGGCUCGCAGCGGUUCUGACGUGCAAAUCGAUCGUCAAAUCUGCGCAUGGGGG